rnacentral:rRNA from 1 species
UACAGAGGGGGCAAGCGUUAUUCGGAAUUACUGGGCGUAAAGCGUGCGCAGGCGGUUAUGCAAGACAGAGGUGAAAUCCCCGGGCUCAACCUGGGAACUGCCUUUGUGACUGCAUAGCUAGAGUACGGUAGAGGGGGAUGGAAUUCCGCGUGUAGCAGUGAAAUGCGUAGAUAUGCGGAGGAACACCGAUGGCGAAGGCAAUCCCCUGGACCUGUACUGACGCUCAUGCACGAAAGCGUGGGGAGCAAACAGG